ensembl:lncRNA
GUAUGAUUGUGUUUGAUGGUGUGAGGUGGCGUAUGAUUGUGUUUGACGGUGUGUGGUGGUGUUUGAUGGUAUGAGGUGGCGUAUGAUUGUGUUUGAUGGUAUGAGGUGGCGUAUGAUUGUGUUUGAUGGUAUGAGGUGGCGUAUGAUUGUGUUUGAUGGUGUGAGGUGGCGUAUGAUUGUGUUUGAUGGUAUGAGGUGGCGUGUGAUUGUGUUUGAUGGUAUGAGGUGGCGUAUGAUUGUGUUUGACGGUAUGAGGUGGCGUAUGAUUGUGUUUGACGGUAUGAGGUGGCGUAUGAUUGUGUUUGAUGGUAUGAGGUGGCGUAUGAUUGUGUUUGAUUGUGUGAGGUGGCGUAUGAUUGUGUUUGAUGGUGUGUGGUGGUGUUUGAUGGUAUGAGGUGGCGUAUGAUUGUGUUUGAUUGUGUGAGGUGGCGUAUGAUUGUGUUUGAUGGUGUGUGGUGGUGGUGUUUGUGCUGAAAUGUGUUACUCACGGUAAAAAAAAGGAACAAACUCGACGGUUAGAGGAGCCGCUUUAAACUUCUGUCUGCUCUUCUCCACGGUGCUGAUCUGCUGCCUACACACACACACAACACCACACACACACACACAGUAUUAUGAGACAAUCAACA